AACUAACACACCAUUGUAAAGCAAUUAUACCCCAAUAAAGAUGUUAAAAAAAAAAUUGUGUUUGUGAACGCUAGAAAUGAGGAAAAGUGAGGGAAGCAGGGUACAAAGUAGCCGGUACCCUAUUGCAAUCGCUUAAACGAUGCUUUAAAAAAAAAUACACCAUCUGCAUCAAAUAGCCCCAAAUUGGGGAUUGUCUGGAUUUGGGCUUUUGUUAAAGUUCUGAGACCUGUUUAAAACUAGUUAAAUCUUCGGUGGCUGGGACCCACAUGCACUGAACUUGGAUUGUAAAGAUUUUUCCCGAGGUUUUAGAAGUCGAAGAAAUGUGAGAGCAAAAGCCUGGAGACAGAAAGUGGAACUCCUCACAAGCAACAUUUCCGCAUUAAGCGAGACCUCUGCGGUGUAAAGAUGAAGUAAACUGUAAAAGGGGGAAAUGGAAGGUCAUUAGAAGAAGACAAUUAUCAGGAAACAACCUCUGAACAACAAAAAUCAAGCUGCCAUUUUUUUUUCCAAGCUGCAAUUUGAUGGAACAAAGUAAUUGAAAAUCCUGACUCCCGCGCCCCGCCCCUUCUCCAUUUGUCACUUGAAGAAAAUCACGUACUCAUUACAAAUUUAGUGGAACGCAUAAAAUUAUCACGUAUUACGGUAAAGCGUAAUCUUACUGGCUUUAUUUAGACAGGAGAGCAGCGUAGAUAACUUGCCGGAUACGGAUGCACAACUACUGUAGGGUAAAGUGAUGAGGAAUAUGCAUCCCCAGAAACCCUAUGCUUGUUUGCAUUUCUUAAGCCGCUUCUCAAAAUGGCUUUCAAGAUGCUUUAAAACCAUUAAUACCUAGAUUCUUACAUGGGGUCAGGAUCACUAAGUACAAGGUAAGUAUUUCACUUGUGAGGGAGAAAUUUCUCACAGUAACUUGUGAAAUUUACAGCUAUUCGGUAUAUGUUUAACAGCACAUUUAAAUGUUAAGCAAAACCUAGGGAAUCCCAGUCCUUGGAGUAUAACAGUUAAUCGAAGUCGUUGUGCUAAACACUGUACAUAAGUUCUCACUUAAUCCUAACAGCAAUCUAAAUAUGGGCAUUAGCCAUGUUCUGCUAUUAUAGGUCAAAGUUGCAGUUUGUGCAGACAGCAAUUUAGAGUAUUUAAUUUCUUUAGGCGAAAUCCUCACAGUAAAAUUACAGGGUAAAAGCCAAUGAAAAAAUCCUGUACAUGUUGCCAAAAUUGCUUUCCAAAAUGGUUUUAAAUUUAGCAAAGCCCACAUACAGCCGAUUACUGGUUCAGGAUAUAUCCAAAGUUUCAUUAAUGAAGUUAGGCAUUUUAGUGCGUCUGUUAGUGCAUGCUAUGGGCUGUUUGAAGGGCUAUGCGCCCCCCCCCCAUAUACUCAUGUGUUUAAGUCCUAACUUCCACUCCCUCAGAAUGUGACUGUAUUUGUAGUGUGGACUGAAAAAAAUGCACAAUGUGAGAGUAGUGAGGUAAGUUUUAUUUGGGGCAAAAUGCCUGGGGAGAUAGCCUCUCAGCUCUGAGGAACUGCUCCCAAGAGGUAGGGGGAGAAGUUAGUGUUACAUAUGAUUUUAGUGAAGGGGGAUAUGUGCAGUCAAGCACACCUUUUGUCAGAGGGUUGCUGCUAGUCACGAGGAGCAGGUAGGUGUCUCCAUUAAUGAUUUUAGUGCUUUUCUAGAUAUGAGAAGAUGCAAGAAAUUGGGCUCAUAAAAUCUUCUGAAAAUAUCUAUCUGAAGGCCUGUUCUGCCUGUUUUCCCCAAAGCACAGGGUGCCUCAUGCCUGAUCUCCACUCUGAACUCCUUUCAAGGAGUGUUGAAAGUCAGUGACUGCAGUGGCUAGUGACUUCACUCUUAUACACUAGAGCCAGAUAGUAAGCGACAAUUUUUAGUUGGCAGUAAAUAGGGUCUUUACAGAGGCAAUAUGAUUAAAUGAGGUCAUUAGGGAGGGGCCUAAUCCACUUUAGCUGGUGUUUUUAUAAAGAGAUUGGGAAACACACACCCAGAGGAAAGAUGACGUGAAGACAGGAGUUGGUCAUCUGCAUGCCAAGGAGAAAGGCCUCAGAGUAAACAACCCUGCCCACAUCGUGAUCUCCCAACUUGUCUCUAGAACCGUCCUGAGACUGUGCUCCCAUGGAGUAGACAGUGUCCGAUGUCCUUUGUAUCCAAACCUGGAAGAAGCUCAAUAAAUUACUUACUAGUUUUAGUUGUUCAAACAACAAAAAAACAUGUCUUCAGAAAUACCCACCAUAGAGAUUAAGAAUGUGUUGCUAAAUGGAUUUGGAAAUUUCCAAGUUCAACCAAGGUAUGAAUUACAACUAUUCAAUUUGCCAUUAACCAAAAGGUCUGCAAGCCUUCUACUCAAGAGCUCCAAACGAGUAUCUAACAGGACUCAAGAAUUCUAAUGAAUUCAGGUACAAUUCAAGAAUGGUGGCUGCAGCAAAAAUAGCCAUGAAGUCUUCCCUCCCCUGAGAGCAAGGGAGACAAAGGGAGCAGCGAGCAGGCAGAGAAGCAGCACAGCCGGCCCUGAGAGUUAAUCAUGUUGCGAUGUAAAUAGAAGUGAGUUUUCUUUCUCCUUCUCCUGAGAGCAAGGGAAAAAAAGGGAGCAUCGAGCAGGCGAAAGAAGCAGCACAGCCAGCCCUGAGAGUUAAUCACUCCUUGUUUAACUGUCACUAACUUGCAGUAACUGGAUUUGUACUUUACAAAGCGAACCUCACUCCCUGACACUACGUAAUUUACCUUCGGCACCCAUCACCCCUGACUGUGUGUUACAUACCCCACCUCUCACUCCGGGCACUUACAUUCUACAGGCCCCUUGUAACAAAUCACCCCCUAUAGUUUUUGAAUUUCAGAGACAAGGUCACAGGCCGAUAAAGGAGAGGCAAAUGGACGCCGUUUCCAGACUGCCAGACCCCAAUUACCAGGCAGCCUGACGCCAGCUAUGACUGUUUUGAAAUAAUGCAAAGGAAAGGAAGCAUGCAAGACCUUCACUACUUUGAUCCUUACCAUAUACCCCGGGCUGUGAGCCCCACAUCUAAAAUCUCCCGAUUCCCAAGGAGGGGGGGCACAGUUGAGGUGCUAGCUUGCUGUCUUCCCUUCUGCCUAGCAGAAAAAUAAAGCCAUCUCUCUCUUCCUCCAAAA